rnacentral:rRNA from 1 species
UACGAAGGGGGCUAGCGUUGCUCGGAAUCACUGGGCGUAAAGGGUGCGUCGGCGGGUCUUUAAGUCAGGGGUGAAAUCCUGGAGCUCAACUCCAGAACUGCCUUUGAUACUGAAGAUCUUGAGUUCGGGAGAGGUGAGUGGAACUGCGAGUGUAGAGGUGAAAUUCGUAGAUAUUCGCAAGAACACCAGUGGCGAAGGCGGCAUCCUGGACCGGCAUUGACGCUGAGGCGCGAAAGCCAGGGGAGCAAACGGG